rnacentral:rRNA from 1 species
GAUGAACGCUGGCGGCGUGCCUAAUACAUGCAAGUCGAGCGAACGGACGAGAAGCUUGCUUUUCUGAUGUUAGCGGCGGACGGGUGAGUAACACGUGGAUAACCUACCUAUAAGACUGGGAUAACUUCGGGAAACCGGAGCUAAUACCGGAUAAUAUUUUGAACCGCAUGGUUCAAAAGUGAAAGACGGUCUUGCUGUCACUUAUAGAUGGAUCCGCGCUGCAUUAGCUAGUUGGUAAGGUAACGGCUUACCAAGGCAACGAUGCAUAGCCGACCUGAGAGGGUGAUCGGCCACACGGGAACUGAGACACGGUCCAGACUCCUACGGGAGGCAGCAGUAGGGAAUCUUCCGCAAUGGGCGAAAGCCUGACGGAGCAACGCAGCGUGAGUGAUGAAGGUCUCGGAUCGUAAAACUCUGUUAUUAGGGAAGAACAUAUGUGUAAGUAACUGUGCACAUCUUGACGGUACCUAAUCAGAAAGCCACGGCUAACUACGCG